GCCUGGCGGGCUCAGUCAGUAGAGCGUGUGACUCUUGAUCUAAGGGUCGUGGGUUCAAGCCCCAUGUUGGGCU
rnacentral:tRNA from 1 species